rnacentral:tRNA from 1 species
GUUCCCGUGGUCUAACGGUUAGGAUAAAGGUCUGCAAAACCUUGGGUAUGGGUUCGAAUCCCAUCAGGAACU